rnacentral:rRNA from 1 species
AGAGUUUGAUCAUGGCUCAGAGCGAACGCUGGCGGCAGGCUUAACACAUGCAAGUCGAGCGGGCGUAGCAAUACGUCAGCGGCAGACGGGUGAGUAACGCGUGGGAACAUACCUUUUGGUUCGGAACAACACAGGGAAACUUGUGCUAAUACCGGAUAAGCCCUUACGGGGAAAGAUUUAUCGCCGAAAGAUUGGCCCGCGUCUGAUUAGCUAGUUGGUGAGGUAAUGGCUCACCAAGGCGACGAUCAGUAGCUGGUCUGAGAGGAUGAUCAGCCACAUUGGGACUGAGACACGGCCCAAACUCCUACGGGAGGCAGCAGUGGGGAAUAUUGGACAAUGGGGGCAACCCUGAUCCAGCCAUGCCGCGUGAGUGAUGAAGGCCCUAGGGUUGUAAAGCUCUUUUGUGCGGGAAGAUAAUGACGGUACCGCAAGAAUAAGCCCCGGCUAACUUCGUGCCAGCAGCCGCGGUAAUACGAAGGGGGCUAGCGUUGCUCGGAAUCACUGGGCGUAAAGGGUGCGUAGGCGGGUCUUUAAGUCAGGGGUGAAAUCCUGGAGCUCAACUCCAGAACUGCCUUUGAUACUGAGGAUCUUGAGUCCGGGAGAGGUGAGUGGAACUGCGAGUGUAGAGGUGAAAUUCGUAGAUAUUCGCAAGAACACCAGUGGCGAAGGCGGCUCACUGGCCCGGUACUGACGCUGAGGCACGAAAGCGUGGGGAGCAAACAGGAUUAGAUACCCUAGUAGUCC